rnacentral:rRNA from 1 species
UACGUAGGAUGCAAGCGCUGUCCGGAACUAUUGGGCGUAAAGCGCGCGCAGGCGGUCCUUUAAGUCUGAUGUGAAAGCCCACGGCUCAACCGUGGAGGGUCAUUGGAAACUGGGGGACUUGAGUGCAGAAGAGGAAAGCGGAAUUCCACGUGUAGCGGUGAAAUGCGUAGAGAUGUGGAGGAACACCAGUGGCGAAGGCGGUGGUCUGGGCCGGCACUGACGCUGAGGAGCGAAAGCGUGGGUAGCAAACAGG